AGUGAACGCUGGCGGCAGGCCUAACACAUGCAAGUCGAACGGCAGCACAAUAAAGGUUGCUUUCUGGGUGGGGAGAGGGGGACGCGUGAGGAGUGUACCGGGAUCUGCCCUUUUGUGUGGGAUAACCUCGGGGGACCGGGACUCAUAUAGCAUAUGCCCCACGGGGGUGAGCGCGGGAGAUUUUCGGCUUUUGCGGAUGGAUGAGCCGAUGCCGGAUUAGCUAGUUGGAGGGGUAAAGGCCCACCAAGGCGACGAUCCGUAGCUGGUCUGUGAGGAUGAUCAGCCACACUGGGACUGAGACACGGCCCAGACUCCUACGGGAGGCAGCAGUGGGGAAUAUUGGACAAUGGGCGCAAGCCUGAUCCAGCCAUGCCGCGUGGGUGAAGAAGGCCUUCGGGUUGUAAAGCACUUUUGUUGGGAAAGAAAAGCAGCCGGUUAAUACCCGGUUGUUAUGACGGUACCCAAAGAAUAAGCACCGGCUAACUUCGUG
rnacentral:rRNA from 1 species